CCUACGGGUGGCAGCAGUGAGGAAUAUUGGUCAAUGGACGAGAGUCUGAACCAGCCAAGUAGCGUGAAGGAUGACUGCCCUAUGGGUUGUAAACUUCUUUUAUAAAGGAAUAAAACGAGGCACGUGUGCCUUUUUGCAUGUACUUUAUGAAUAAGGAUCGGCUAACUCCGUGCCAGCAGCCGCGGUAAUACGGAGGAUCCGAGCGUUAUCCGGAUUUAUUGGGUUUAAAGGGAGCGUAGAUGGGUUGUUAAGUCAGUUGUGAAAGUUUGCGGAUCAACCGUAAAAUUGCAAUUGAUACUGGCAGUCGUGAGUACAGUUGAGGUAGGCGGAAUUCGUGGUGUAGCGGUGAAAUGCUUAGAUAUCACGAAGAACCCCGAGUGCGAAGGCAGCUUACUAAACUGUGACUGACAUUGAUGCUCGAAAGUGUGGGUAUCAAACAGGAUUAGAUACCCUGGUAGUC
rnacentral:rRNA from 1 species